AUUACAAGACUAAUAUCUUUUUGAGAAAAUAACUACUUUCCAUUUUUUGGUUGCAACAUUGAAAAUCAAAUGAAAAUUAUUUUUUGAUUUUUGGAAUACAUCAGAAAACAUUAAUAUCCUUUCAAUAGUAAGCUUAUGAAAAUGUUAAGAUCCAACAAACUUCAACUUAUUCUGUUUACUGUUCAAUAUAAUUUAAGAAAAAAAGGAAAGAAAAAAAGAAGUAAUUGUGGUUGUUGCUUGCAAUCAGUGCCACCAGUCAAUAGCCAAUAAUAGCCAAGUUGACUACUGAUAGUCAAUAGAAUAACGGAUAAGUGUUUAUGUGGUUCCCUUACAAGUUAAUUCACUUUUAAGGAGAUCAUCAAAGUUUGGAAAACAUUUUCCACUUAAAAAAGGAGUCAUUUACAAGUUUUUUCUUUUACCAAGAAAACAUUCGACUAAUUUUCCCAAGCGUCACAAACACCUGAGGACGCAAAAAAUGAAAGGAAAAUAUCUUCCAUAAAAGAAACAGAGCUAAAGGUUAAAAUAACACAUAAUAAAUGGGCGAGGGAGAUGAUGUUGAAGGAGAUUCAUCAUCAAAGUUCAUAUCAACAAAGCCGAAUUGGGAUGUCACGAUGAAAAAUUAUAAAACAGUACUUGAUAGGAUAAAAUACAUGAUAUAAAGCCGGCACAAACAGGUAUGGCGCACGCAUUCAUCAAAAACCAACCAGUUAAAGACAAAAAGAAGCCAUCCUAGUGUUGAACAUGAAGAGCAGAAAUAGGUUGCAUAGCAAAUCUAUUAUCAAGAACACUAAGCACAACAAAGAAUACUAAGAUCCACGUGAGGAAAACAGGCAGGCAUUGUCACCAAACUUCUUUAUAAUUAGAAAAAGACCUCCCUCACCUUAGAAAAUCACACAACAGAAAAUUUGCAUUAAUAAUUAUUACCAAAAACCUAAUAAACCAGCUAAAAGUACCCAAAAAUAUUAUAACUAGUAAGAAAGCUGUUGUGUCAUUCUUGCCUGACACAUACAACAAACGUACAUAGCAUAACAGAUAACAAACAAAUGACCCAACCAUUCGUACAAUGAACCUAAUCAGGCAGCGAACUAUGUGAUACUGACAUACAACAGGAAAUGGGUUAACUAAUAAAUACACAGCCAAAGCUUCUAUCAUCCAUGAAAAUUAAUUUAAAUAAAGGAAAAAGUAACAAACCUUCUCAAACUGAAUUGGAUUCA
rnacentral:misc_RNA from 1 species